UCCUACGGGAGGCAGCAGUGGGGAAUAUUGCACAAUGGGGGAAACCCUGAUGCAGCAACGCCGCGUGAGUGAAGAAGUAUUUCGGUAUGUAAAGCUCUAUCAGCAGGGAAGAAGAUGACGGUACCUGAGUAAGAAGCCCCGGCUAACUACGUGCCAGCAGCCGCGGUAAUACAUAGGGAGCAAGCGUUAUCCGGAUUUAUUGGGUGUAAAGGGUGCGUAGACGGGAAAGCAAGUUAGUUGUGAAAUCCCUCGGCUUAACUGAGGAACUGCAACUAAAACUGUUUUUCUUGAGUGUCGGAGAGGAA
rnacentral:rRNA from 1 species